GGGUAAAUUGUUGAGAUUAAUUUAAUUACGUGCUUAAUGGAACUAUAUUAUUAUAUAGUAUGCCUGUGUUGUCUUUUCAGGUGUGUUCUGACAGGUUGGCGCGGUAUAGUCACAACCGGGUAUUUCGGGCCGAACCGAGUUCGGGCCCGAAUUCCAGAUUGGAUUGAUUUAAUUGGCAUUUUAUUUGAUAAGUGAUAAUCUGAAAUUAAUUGGAAUUUAUUUAUGCAUGAAAUGACAAUAUUACCCUUGUGUCAUGUUUAUGUUAUAUUUAAGCCCUAUGGGCAUUUUGGUCUUUUGACCAUUUCGUUAAUUAUCAACAAAAGGAAGUUUUACAAAAUGAGAAAACCAAUUUUCUGGUUUUAUAGCACACCACCGACCCCUCCCUCUCUCUAUUUCUCAUCUUUUCAAAUUUUCAAUCCUUGAGAAUUUUGCCAUGGUUUAAGCUUGGGUUUGGGAAGAUUUUGGUGCUUGGCUUUGAGGAAAGCUUAAGGUAGCUUUCUAUUUAAUUUACUUUGAAUUUUGCUACUGAAUAUAUGUGAAAAUUAUGCUUUUGAUAUUGCUAAAUUGAUUGGUUGCAUGUAUGUGGAAGAUUAGCUUAAUCUUAAAGCUUUUUGUUUAGUUGUGUUGAUAAUCCUUGGUUAUUGUUUUGGAUUAAGUUUAAGAGAGAAUUUUAGGGAUUGUGCUAGUGCUUCUUUUCUGUUAUGCAUCUCUGAAUUUUAUUGUUGAGCUUGAGCUUGUGUUUUGGGUUUAAAGAUUCAAGGAUUGAGCUUGAAUUUGUUGAUAUUUUGCUCAAUGUUUGGAGGUUAAUUUUUAUAUUGAUUAAAUCUGAUUUUGGUUAAGGAUUAAUGCAUGAAUUUUGUGUUUUUUACCCUAUGUUUGGUUGGGGUUCGAAAUCUAGGAAAGGUUGGCAUUUUAAGACCUUAAAAAUGGAGUUUUGGGGUGUUCUAAACCCAGUCGUCGCGACGGGAUUUUCGGCCGUCGCGACUGGAUUUGGCAGUGAGAAAUUCUGUUUUCUCAAUUUUGUUUUGGCCAUAACUUUUGACUCGGGACUCCGUUUGGGAUGUUCUUUAUAUCGUUGGAAAGCUCGUUCCGAGCUCUAUUUGAUUAUCUAUGUUUUGAAUGCCAUGUUUAUAUUUUGUGAAAGUGAAAUUGGGGAUUAACCCUAUUUGUGAAAUCCCGGAUUGUGUGACUAGGAUUACCGGCACCUGAUCAGGAGCACCCAGGGGUUUGGAAUCUCUGUUAUUGCGGGACAACAGGAAAGGGUAAGUCAGUGGCUGAUCAACCAUGAGUUUGAGGAGCAAAACGAAGAAUGUACAUGUUCAAGCCAUAUCAGACCAAGCGGGUUAAGGGUCUAUCAGUGUUGAACUUUUGAAUUCUGUUUUGCCGCUUAGGUCGGCUAGAAAGAAAAGACUUGUAAUAAGUUUGUAAUUAUUUUUGGGAUCCCAACUAUUUUGAAAGUUUAAAUAUAUUACAAGUUUAUUUUCA